UGGAAAUUAAAAAAUAAAGUUUAAUAAAUUAUAAAAAUAAUUCUAAUCUUUGUAAACGUCCUAGAGAAAUAUAGUAGCUUUCUGUUCACCCUUUUCAAGUAAAAAGAUUGGAUCGUUCCACUACUGACACUU